AAAGUGCCCGGAGCGUGACUCGAACACGCGACCUCCAGAUUUCUCAGGAGAUUUGGACGCACGGUUAAUAUUCCCUAUGAGUCUGGCGCCCCAACCAACUAGGCUACCCGGGCA
rnacentral:tRNA from 1 species